rnacentral:rRNA from 1 species
UAAUACGAAGGUGGCAAGCGUUGUUCGGAUUCACUGGGCGUACAGGGAGCGUAGGCGGUUGGGUAAGCCCUCCGUGAAAUCUCCGGGCCUAACCCGGAAAGUGCAGAGGGGACUGCUCAGCUAGAGGAUGGGAGAGGAGCGCGGAAUUCCCGGUGUAGCGGUGAAAUGCGUAGAGAUCGGGAGGAAGGCCGGUGGCGAAGGCGGCGCUCUGGAACAUUUCUGACGCUGAGGCUCGAAAGCGUGGGGAGCAAACAGGAUUAGAUACCCUGGUAGUCCACGCCUUAAACUAUGGAUACUAAGUGUCGGCGGUUUACCGCCGGUGCCGCAGCUAACGCAAUAAGUAUCCCGCCUGGGAAGUACGGCCGCAAGGUUGAAACUUAAAGGAAUUGACGG